AACGGGAAGCUAGAGGGUGAGAGCCCGGUUGGCCAACAAGCCUGUGUAAGCUCCUCGACGAGUCGAGUAGUUGGGAUGCUGCUCAAAUGGGAGGUAUAUUUCUUCUAAAGCUAAAUACUGGCCCAGAGACCGAUAGCGCACAAGUAGAGUGAUCGAAAGAUGAAAAGCACUUUGAAAAGAGGGUAAAUAGCACGUGAAAUUGUUGAAAGGGAAGGAUUUAUGACCAGACUUUUUCUAGGGGGAUCAUCCGGUGUUCUCACCGGUGCACUUCCCCUAGUUGAGGCCAGCAUCGGUUUCUGUCGGGGGAUAAAAGCUUCAGGAAUGUGGCUCCCUUCGGGGAGUGUUAUAGCCUGUUGCAUAAUACCCUGACGGGGACCGAGGUUCGCGCAUUGCAAGGAUGCUGGCGUAAUGGUUAUUAAUCACCCGUCUUGAAACACGGACCAAGGAGUCGAACAUUUGUGCGAGUGUUUGGGUGUUAAACCCUCACGCGUAAUGAAAGUGAACGGAGGUGAGAGCCUUUCGGGGUGCAUCAUCGACCGAUCCUGAUGUCUUCGGAUGGAUUUGAGUAAGAGCAUAACUGUUCGGACCCGAAAGAUGGUGAACUAUGCGUGGAUAGGGUGAAGCCAGAGGAAACUCUGGUGGAGGCUCGCAGCGGUUCUGACGUGCAAAUCGAUCGUCAAAUCUGCGCAUGGGGGCGAAAGACUAAUCGAACCA
rnacentral:rRNA from 1 species